rnacentral:rRNA from 1 species
GAUGAACGCUGACAGAAUGCUUAACACAUGCAAGUCGAUGGGGAAGUGGUGCUUGCACCAUGGCAACCAUGGCGGACGGGUGAGUAACGCGUAAGGGACUUACCUGCAGGACUGGGAUAACAGGGGGAAACUCCUGACAAGACCGGAUAAUGUCAUGGAGCUGCAUGGCUUUAUGAUGAAAGGAGACGCCUGCGGAGAGCCUUGCGUCCUAUUAGCUAGUUGGUGAGGUAAUGGCUCACCAAGGCGAAGAUAGGUAGCCGGCCUGAGAGGGUGGACGGCCACAAGGGGACUGAGAUACGGCCCUUACUCCUGCGGGAGGCAGCAGUGGGGAAUAUUGGACAAUGGGGGCAACCCUGAUCCAGCAAUUCUGUGUGCACGAAGAAGGUUUUCGGAUUGUAAAGUGCUUUCAGCAGGGAAGAAGUAAGUGACGGUACCUGCAGAAGAAGCGACGGCUAAAUACGUG